UACGGGGGGAGCAAGCGUUGUUCGGAAUUAUUGGGCGUAAAGAGCUCGUAGGCGGUCUGUUGCGUCGGCUGUGAAAACCCGGGGCUCAACCCCGGGCCUGCAGCCGAUACGAGCAGACUAGAGUUCGGCAGGGGAGACUGGAAUUCCUGGUGUAGCGGUGAAAUGCGCAGAUAUCAGGAGGAACACCGGUGGCGAAGGCGGGUCUCUGGGCCGAAACUGACGCUGAGGAGCGAAAGCGUGGGGAGCGAACAGG
rnacentral:rRNA from 1 species